rnacentral:rRNA from 1 species
CCUACGGGAGGCUGCAGUGGGGAAUCUUGCACAAUGGGGGGAACCCUGAUGCAGCGACGCCGCGUGAGUGAAGAAGUACUUCGGUAUGUAAAGCUCUUUCAGCAGGGAAGAAAAUGACGGUACCUGUCUCUGAAGCCCCGGCUAACUACGUGCCAGCAGCCGCGGUAAUACGGAGGGGGCAAGCGUUCUCCGGAUUUACUGGGUGUAAAGGGAGCGUAGACGGUUAUGCAAGUCUGAAGUGAAAGCCCAAGGCUCAACCAGGGGACUGCUUUGGAAACUGUAAAACUGGAGUGCAGGAGAGGUGAGCGGAAUUCCUAGUGUAGCGGUGGAAUGCGUAGAUAUUAGGAGGAACACCAGUGGCGAAGGCGGGUUGCUAGACGGAAACUGACACUGAGGCACGAAAGCGUGGGGAGCAAACAGGAUUAGAUACCCGUGUAGUC